CUGUGGGUCAGAGAAAAAAAACGCCAACUACACUUUUCGAAGAUUUUCAGAUUUCGUUGCCGCCAUGUUCUCCAACGUUUUCGCAGACUGUAUAACCGUCAGUGGCGUUUCAGAAGCGGAAGGGGAAGGCUGUGUCGCAUUUAUGCUGAAACGCCAACUUCGCAUGUUCAGGGAAAUCUUUGGUUUGAAAAAAGCCAACUACGUUUAAUGAGCCCUCAUCCUUCCACUCAGUCAAACAAUCCGACAACUAGCGGAAUCCUACUCCAGCUUUGCUAGCUCUGCCAAAGGAGAAGCUCCACAUGACUUCCCGAGCUCACAAGAUGGUGGCCCUAGCUCGGGCCAAGAUCAAAGAAGGAGCAGUCCCCUGGUCAUCUACUACGAACCCUGAGUCUUCCAACAUGGAUGACGUUCC